UACGUAGGGGGCAAGCGUUGUCCGGAUUUAUUGGGCGUAAAGAGCGUGUAGGCGGCCAGGUAGGUCAGCUGUGAAAACUCGAGGCUCAACCUCGAGAUGUCGGCUGAAACCAUCUGGCUAGAGUCCGGAAGAGGAGAAUGGAAUUCCCGGUGUAGCGGUGAAAUGCGCAGAUAUCGGGAAGAACACCCGUAGCGAAGGCGGUUCUCUGGGACGGUACUGACGCUGAGACGCGAAAGCGUGGGGAGCGAACAGG
rnacentral:rRNA from 1 species